GAUGCAAACUUACAUAUGACCACACAUUCCA
rnacentral:piRNA from 1 species